UAGGGUUGGGUACCGAAAAGCAGUGCUAAUAGGGCACCGGUUCCAACGUAAACAAUACUAACGAGACCGAAUAAGAACAAAAAUUGUGGUGCAUUUAAAGUU